rnacentral:misc_RNA from 1 species
AUUAGUGGGGUCUGCUUUGCUGAUCCUUGACGUGAUAAGAUGUUUCUACGUCUUGGGUUUGGCACUGUCACUUGGGCACCCGCUUCUAACCGUCUCAUCGACAAUGAUGGCGUUCCGGUCGACCACCGUUUCAUCGGUGGGAGGCUUGACCCACCACAAACCUUGACCUCAAAUCGGGUGAGACUACCCGCUGAACUUAA